rnacentral:lncRNA from 1 species
CCUUGAAUGCAGCCAGGAGUGAAGGCUGUCACAGGAGCCACCCAGGGAAGGGUGAAUGGACAGUGGGAGGAGGUGGGCCCCAGACCGUGGAUGGCAUCUCAGAGCAGACUAAGGAUUUACGCUUCGUCCAGAGGCAGUGGGUUGGCCUGAUCAGACUUAGAGGGACACUGGAAGCAGGAAGAGGGUGGACAAGAGGGAUCAACACAGUGGCAGAGAGGCCAGACCCCACCCCCACCUCCCACCCCCAAGAGCGACCGAAAACAGUGAGAGGAAGAGAGGAGAGGCCGAGGCAGCCUGAGGGCUUCUCGCAGCAUCCCUCUGCCUUGAUAUUCCAGGAUUGUGGGAUUCCUCCAAGCCCCUCCACGUGGCUGCAGGUGGGCAGGACACACACUUCAAGGAUCUCCUUCCAGUUCCCUGGAGGCAAGAAGCGCUGCUGGGGGUGGGGGGGUGGCGAUCUGAAGCUCUGCAUUGGCUGUGAUGUGUCCUCCCACCCCUGGAAUGAGAGAGCUGGAGCCAGGCCUGGCUGGGGACUCAAGGGGACCUGCACACCCAUGGGGAGAGAGCCCUGUCCUCCCAGGUUCCACCGGUCAGCCCAGGGGCCUCCAUCCCAGCCUCAUGCAGCUCCCUCUGCUGUUAACACUGUCCACUGCUCCAAGAGAUUUGUCACACUUGGGGAGGCUCCGCCACAAAGGCUGCUGGGACUGUGGUGAGGGUGGACCAAAGGGAGGCCAAGGGGGCGGGGACGGCACAGCCCGGGAAGGGGCGGGAGAUGCCCUCCCCGUGGAGGGGCUCCUGGCUGGGGCUUCUGUGGCAUCCCCGUGACUCCUCACCUCAGCAAUGCAGCUGUCACUAUUCUCUUUUGACUCAGGAUAAAAUUGAAAAUGAGACCAUUAAAUGAUUUGCCCAAAUAUACACAGCUACUCACAAGCAGAUGUGGAUUCAGGCCCAAAUUCACCGGCCUUUGCAACCUGUUCAUUCAUUUCGUCUUUCAUUCAUUGAUUCAGCCAGCAAAACUGUAUGGAGGGCCUACCAUAUGCCAGGCCCUGUACCGGACACCAGAGAUACGCAUCAGACACAUCUCCGUCCUCUAGCGGGAGAGACCAGCAGGACCAAGUUCAUAAAUGCAGGAGAUAAUUCCAGAUUGGAAUAAAUUGUGAAACAACUAAUCAGCGUGAUGAUCUAGGGCAGGGGUUACUAAAAUACAGCCCAGAGUCCCGAUCUCACCCUGCCACCUGUCUCUCCAUGGAACUGCAAGCUAUGAGUGGUUUUCACGAUUUUAAAGGGUCACAAAGCAAAGGAGAGUAUGCGACAGAGACAGCACAUGUCCCAUAAAGCCUAAACGAUUUCCUGUAUAGCCCGGGACAGACAAAGUUGCCAACCCCUGGUCUGGAGAGAGAGAGUCUGGAGAGACAUCCUUGGCAGUGGGCAGGGAAGGCCUCUCUGCAGCAGUGACUUUGAACUGAGUCUCAACAAUAGAGAAAAACCACCGGGUGUAGAGACCCAGGGAAGGAGAACAAGUGAAUGCAAAGGCCCUGGGGUAGAAAUAAGCUCAGCAGGUUCAAGAAAUGAAAAUAAGGCCAACUUUGUUCAAGUGCAGGAACAGGGAGGGGAAGUGGUACCAGGUAAGCUCAUGGGCGGGGAGCUAGGAACAGAUGGCAGCAGCCCCCAUAAGGCUUGCUGGCCCAAGGCUAGAAAUGUCCUGUCCACUCCACCCUACCUAUGGUGGGGCAAAAUCAUGCACAAAUCCUGGUGCCAAGAUGGGCAGGGUUCAGUCUGGUGGGCCAAACACAGUAACAAGGAUCCAGAUACGAGGGACAUUUGAGUCAGAGACUUGGUAGUCCCAGUUCCCAGGGGAUGAGAUCACCCAGUGGUCAGAGGGUACCAGGAAGAUGAUCUAAGAUGGACUGGGCUGCAGGAGCUUGGCAGGCUACCAGGACCCAUGCCAAAGAAGCUGCCACUCAAAGAAGGCCUUGAGCUCCAAAAGGACAUGAAAGGAUAUUAAUGAAGAGCCAAGGACAUGUGAUAAAGAUGAUGGUAAAAACAAUAUCCUUGGAAGCUUUUGGUUACCCAGGCCUCACCCCUGCAUAUCAAACCCUGGACCUGGGCCACAUGACUUACCCUGGCCUCACCCACCCUGGUCCUCCCUCUGCACGUCUACAAGGUUCAGGAAGCAGGCAGGGCCAACAGAGAGAGAGGGGGUCAACAGGGACGCCUGGAAGGAGCUUGUGAGGUGGACACUGGCAGGACUGGGUAAACAGUGAGUGUAUUAGGUUGAUGGCUGGUACGCACAUGGUCCUGGCACCACGCAAGCCCACCACAGGGGCCUGAACUCAUGCUAAGUUCUCUGACCCCAGGAAGUGAGAGGAGAUCAUCAGCAUCGAUCGCAGUCACAGUUUGUUCUUUGGCCACCACUUAGUUUUAAAUGGCUGUGCUCCUAAGCAUGUCCCCAGGCAACAUGUGUUCUGAAAUUUGAUUUUUUUAAAAACAACUUUUACUGGGUUUUUUUUUUUUUUAUUGUUAUUAUAAGGGCAACACAUGUUCCUUUCAGGAAUACCAGAAAACACACAAAUACCAAACAAGAAAGAAAGAAAAACACUCAUCCAUCCACCCAGAGACAGCCAUUGUUCACACCUUGAUGUCUACUUUUCUAGGCUUUUCUUUGUGUACGUAUCAUUUAUUAAGUAAAUGCAGGAGUUCCCGUCAUGGCACAGUGGAAACGAAUCCGACUAGGAACCAUGAGGUUUCGGGUUCGAUCCCUGGCCUUGCUCAGCGGGUUAAGGAUCUGGCAUUGCUGUGAGCUGUGGUGUAGGUCACAGUCACAGCUCGGAUCCAGUGUUGCUGUGGCUUUGGCAUAGGCCGGCAGCUGUAGCUCCAGCUAGUCCCCCAGUCUGGGAACCUCCAUAUGCCAUGGGUGCAGCCCCAAAAGACAAAAAAUAAAAUAAAAAAAUAAAAAUUAAGUAAAUGCAACCCCAAAACCCCCCAGGUCUUACCAGGUGGGGGGCUCAACUGAGGAAGAUGAAUGGUCAUUGCUGAUUUGAUAGGCUGUACCUGCCUGUCCUCAGGCCCCCAGAUCCCUUUCUGAGGUUCCUCCCUGUAGUAUGUCAAGUAUCCCUGGACAUCUUGAGGUGUCCCACACAUGCUCCCAAGCCAGUGCCCACCUCUGCCUGUGUCUAUCACUGCUCACCCUCACAGCACCUUGCUGGUGCUCCUUGAAGGCUACUGCCCCGUGUUGCUCAUCCACCUAGCUUUUCAAGCUCAGGUGGCCAUGCAUCAUCUUUAUCUUCUUCUGCCUUGGACCACCCUAGCUUCCCUGGGGCAAUUCUGCUUUGUCACUCCUGACUCUCAGCCACUGUCCCUUCCCUGGGCCACAUCGACAUUCUGCCUCCUCACAGGAGAAAUGCCCUUCCCAUCUCUGCUCUUCCAAAGGGGUUGCCCAGGGCUUAAAUACACAGUCCUUUCCAUCCAUGGGGUGAAGUAACCCCACAGUGGCUGCAUCAGGUCCUACCCUGUACAAGAAACCAUUUCUCUGCUCCCAAUGUUCUGAGAAUGACCCUAAGGCCCCUUACACCUCAAUGGGGCAUCUCCCAGCCACUUCAGAGCCUCUUCUGUAGCCCCCAUUUCUCCCUCUCCCAGCCCCACCCCCAGCUAUUACCUGAAGGGGGGAAGGGAUGGAGUCACCCACAUUCACUCACCUGCUACCAGACUCCCUGAACCCAUGUCACACACAAAAAGAGAUACAACAGAACAUAUGACCAUACCUUUUUAAAUUUAUCAAUAUAUUGUGGAUAUCUUAUUAAGAACUAUGUUUCUACGUCAUGUUUAAUGGUUGCAUAGUACUCUAUUAUAUACAUGUCAAUUAUUUUAUGUAAACAAACCCCUAUUAUAGACAUCUAGGUGUGUCAAACACUUCCUACUACAAAUAAAAUCUAGCAACCUCUAGUUUUCUGAGUCCUUCAAAAGCUCCAGCCAUUCUGACCUCUUUUGCAUUUUAUAACAAUAGAAUCACAUACUCCAUCAUCACAUUUUUAGUACAUAGUUGUGCAUGGUUUCACUAAACAUUAUGUUUGUGAGAUUAAAAGAAACAAAAUCCAGCAAUCUAACUUUCAAAUGAAAGGCACUCCUUGGCAGAAAUUUCUUAUCCACCCUAGACCUUGAGAGGAAACUGUCUUCCGUCAUCUAGUGAAUUCAGUUGGGAUGAAGCACUACCUGCUGUGACUUGGGUCCCAGCAAGCUCUGCACUGACAGUCUGGAAGGGGGAUGCAGCAAUUAAGGUCAUGCUGUCUGCAGCCUGAAAGAGCCCACGGUCCUAAGGGGAGCCAGGCAUAGAGAGAAAACACCUGGUGGGAGGCAGGGUGCAUGCUCCUGGUAUCGAUGGCCACGGGGAGUGUGCUCGGGAACAUCGUGGCGGGGCCUUGUCCUGCCUUGGCUUCUAGGAGGGGGCAGCCUUUCAGCGGGGCCUGGAGGAUGGCUUGGGAUUUUAUUCAGGAGGGAGGAGAAAGACAAGUGAGCUUGGAGAGCGGUCAGAGUCAAGGUGUGGGAGCAGAGAGGUGCAGGGCUUGGCGUGGAACAAGGAGGGCCUGACCCUGGAGAACAGAGAACAGUCAGAGAGAGACAGCACGAGAAACAAGUCUAGAAAAAUACACUGGGACCAGAUCCGGAAGCAAUAUCGCGCCAUUAACAAUAUCAAGGUCAAGAGGGGCAGAACGGAAAACUAAAGAGGAAAACUCAGUUUGGAAGGGAUAGUCCUUAAACAAUUGUUCCUGAAAAUAAAGUUUUUCCACUAUGUCACUAUCUUUAUGCCAAAUAUUAUUAUCAUAUGAGUCCAGGAAAUUACAUUAAAUACAUUUUUAAAACCCUAAAGCUGACCAUGUUGAUUUUGACCUACAGCGAGUACCAAAAGAUAAAAGUCUAUCCUUCCAAUCCAUCCAAUAUUUCAGUGACUGUUUUUUCCUCAUGCAUAGAAAAGUCACGGAUAUUCCACUUCUAUGUUAAGCCAGGGGUGCUCCUUGCAAUCCGAGUACACUGACCUUCUUUGUUAUUUUUGCUGCUCCGGGCCUUUGCACCUGCUAUUCCUGAAGCCUGGAAUUGUUGUUCCUUUUCCACUUCACUUACCUAACCCCAACAUGUCUUUGAGAUUUCAUUUCAAGCAUCACUUUUUCUAACCCCCUAAAUCAGGGUUAGGUCCCUCUAUCCUAUGCUCUUCAGAGAGUCAGUACUUCUCUUUAGCAUUUAUUGUAAUUAAAAUUACUUUAUUGGUGCCCUCAUGCAUGUAUUUAAACUUAAAAAUCGGAGUUCCUAUCAUGGCUUCGUGGUUAACAAACCCAGCUAGUAUCCGUGAGGAUGCGGGUUCAAUCCCUGGCCUUGCUCAGUGGGUUAAGGAUCCAGCAUUGCAAUGAGCUAUGGUGUAGGUCACAGAUGAGGCUCGGCUCCUGUGUUGCUGUGGCUGUGGUGUAGGCUGGCAGCUACAGCUCCAAUUGGACCCCGAGCCUGGGAACCUCCA